ACAGCAAGUUUUACUUUUGUGUUCUGCAGCCGAGUUGGCUUCUACAUCAGCACCUUCAAGAGUGUAACGAAUCUUGAAGCAAAGUUUCAUCGUGAGAUCUCACUGGUGUGCAGAGAACUGUACGAAGUGAUGACCAAACUGGGAGAGCAGCACUCUGACAAGAUAUUCACCAUCCAAGGGGCUCCGAGUGAUUCAGGACCUCUACGACUCGCGAGAACCCCAUCACCACCAGAAGACGAGAGUCCACCUGAUAGUCCAGAUCUCAGCACCAAUCAUAUGCUCCGUCCCAUCUCACCUGGACCGCCUCGACCCAAAUCUCCAAUGC